UUGUAAACCCCAUGGCCUUCUGGUUGACAUGUGGCUGACAAGAUAAAUGCUUUGGUAACCAGGAAGUCAAAUCAACAUGGUCAUAUACUACCAGGAGGCUGCAUCAAUCGAGGGGACCUGGAGUUACCAUGUACUCAAAACAAUUGGAAACUAUUCCUGGUUAUGACUCUGAUGAAUCCUUGAUCUUGUUGGUCAAAUGAACCUUACAGGAUCUGUUGAUGCCACCUAUCCACUUGGCCAACAUGACGAGGGAACUAGUAUCAUUGGUGAAUGCAAAACCAUUGUUGAUAUGUUCCCCUGCCCUCCCCAAAUUGUUUAAUUAAUAAAACUGCACAUCCAGGAUCUAUACUUGCAAAACCAUUAUACACAUAGCCUCUGGCUGGCCUUCCAAGUUCUGUGUGCCAAAUGUGCACAGAGUGAGAUUCUAAAGCAUUUUUCAUCAUGUGGUAUUGGUUACUGGAGAAUUCUAUAGAGAUUUCAUAGUUUCUAAUGUUUCAGAAAUCAAAGUGAUGGCAUUUUUCAUCUUCACUCCCUAGCAAAAUCUCUCAACAUUAGUAUGAUAACCCGCAUUAUGUCUGUGUCUUUCAAAUGGUAAAUAAAGACUC